GGUAAGAUGGCUGAAGAUUAGGCGAUAAAUUGUAAAUUUAUUUAUAGGAUUUAAAUCCUUCUUACUA
rnacentral:tRNA from 1 species